GUCAGUGUAGUUCAGUGGUUUGAACAUUGGACUAUAACUCUAGAGACUAUGGUUUGAUUCCCAGCUUAGCCA